ensembl:lncRNA
GGGUCUCUUUCGUUGGCGGGCAGAUUCUUUACCACUAGGGCCACCUGGGAGGCCUGCUGCCUGCAAAGAAGUGUCCCAUCACAUCCAGGUACAGGUGAGGAACCUGGGGCCCUCCCCAGGGUGCAGAAGUCCAGGUUUAAGGCCACCAGCAUGAGUAAGGACACUGCCAGACCCCUAGUCGAGGACAAGGGCAGAUUCUCCAUGACACUGCCGAGGGCCUUUCUGGUUAACAUUUUCACCACUGGGGGCGACAGAGGUUGCUCCACCUAGGUUUGGGCCCCUUUCUCCUUUGGAGCUUGCACUACCCCACCUGGGGCCCCUGAUCCUCCCCUAGUUAAAGCACACAGCGAGAAGUGCCAGCCGUGUGGCAGGAUGGGUGGCCUCAAGACCUUCCGGCUAGCGGCACCAUUCAACACAGGCAGCCUCCCGUAGCUCGAGCUGACUUGGCCCAGGGAUGAUGCAGAGAAAACCUUCCUACCGCCUUUCAGUUUCUUCUCUUUGAGCUCACAGUUCCUUUAGUCUGGUUCCUUCUAGAAGAAUGAGUUUUUCUAACUGGUGUCCUCUACUUCCGCCUUCGAGUUAAAAGGUGAGCCGUUCGCGUUGGACUCAAGUCUCUGGAAGGUGACGAUGAUUAUUGGUCUGUUUUUGUUCCUGAAAGCUCUGUGCAUUUCUCUUUUAGUUAAAGUACAGUUGAUAUACAAAAGUAUGUAAGUUACAGGUGUACAAUAUAGUGAUUCACAAUUUUUAAAGAUUUUACUCCAUUUAUAAUUAUGAUAAAACAUUGGCUAUAUUCCUCAUGUUGUACAAUAUGUGUUAGUCGCUCAGUCGUGUCCGGCUCUUUGUGACCCCAUGGACUGUACGCCGCUAGGCUCCUCUGUGCAUGCAAUGCUCCAGGUAAGAACCCUGGAGUGGGUUGUCUCUCUAGUUGUGGUGUGAGUUUCUCAUUGUGGCGGCUUCUCUUGUUGCAGAGCACAGACUCAGUAGUUGUGUCCACAGGCCACAACCGUGCAUAUAAGUCUUCCCGAAGCAGGGAUUGAACCCGUGUCCCCAGCACUGGCAGGCUGGAUUCAGCACCUUGGAGACAGACUCAGGACCUGACCAUCUGUGGACCACCUGUGUGUGCUCUGUAGCCAAAGACCACCAAGAACAAAGUUGGAUUUACUGAUCUUUUGCAGGGAGGGAGGCUGUGUACAUGCACAGAUAAGGAGUAAUGGGGCCUCUCAGCACAAGGGACUUAGAACAGAACAUGGACUUGUGUUAAGUGGUGUGUGGGAAGUUUCAAGGAAGAAGAGGUUUGCUCUGGAUUGAAUGGUGUCAGGAAGUAGGAUUCUACCACCAGGAACUUCAGUUUUUAUACAGAAGGUGAGAUGAAGGCAUCAGAGCUAAAGCCAUGGUUGUGAAGAGACAGCUGUCACUUGGGUUAGUUGAGUGAUUUCUCUCGUGUGGGCAGAGGCUUAGUUUGUGUCUGUGCUCAGACAUGACUACAGAAUGGUCUUGUUUUGUCAGGCUUAUCUGAAGUUGGUGAUGGGUGAGACUAGCUCUGUUUGAGAGGAGAACAUGGCACCUAGCUCUGAGUGCCUGGCUGUGGGGAGCUUGAUGCUAGGGACUACUUUCGUCUUUGUACAUUACAAAGACAAAGCUUUGAUCCUCCAGUUCCAGUCUUCUUUAUAUCCUAGUCUUGUAUCUUCAUGAUGGGAUACGGAUCCUCACAUUUGAAGAGGAGGAGGAGGGACAGAUGAG